rnacentral:pre_miRNA from 1 species
GCUUGGAGCCUGAUCCAAGACUCAUUGAAGCCAGUGGGCGUCUUUCCAUUGACUUCAGUGGGCUUUGGAUCAGGCUUAUAAUGGC